AGAGAGAAGUUACUCAUGUGUGAAUUCUGUCUUUAUUUUUAUGUUAGUUCCGUCCUCUGACAAAUAUGAGGACUAGUUGUAUUAAGGAAUUUACAGCAUCCGUGUGUCUCUUGCUGGCAGACAAAACGGUAAUCGAAAUACCUUUUUUUUUUUUAAUGUAAUAGACUGGAAACAAAUGAACUAGCUGCAAUAUAAGAUAACAGAAGAGAGAGACGGGUGUGAUUCUGUCUUACCCAAGCAUUUUUGUUUGGUAUAAGAGAAAAAGACAAAAAAAAAAAAAAAUUAGAAUUUGAUGCAGAAACUGUCACUAAAACCACUGAUAUUCUGAGCAGCCGCGCGUUUUCUGUUUUGUGUGAUUAUCCCUUGAGAGAGGAAACUCCAGUGUGCCUGCAGACAUGACGGCGAGGAAGAGAUUAAAAUAGAGGUAAAAAGUGGGGAAAACUAGCGCGUCCCACUUCUACCUGAGUCUGUCAUUGAGAAAACUGGUAGGAGCGUUUUCUUUCUAUACUUUUUUUUUCUUUUUUUCUUUUUCUGAUAAUGAUUAAUAAAUAUAGAGAGGCAGCAGCAGCAUUUUCCGGUUCGUUGAUUUCUGAUGUCGGUAAUAAUUGAUUAGUGUCUUUUUUGCCGACAUUUUAUUAUGCAGACGCACUUUGCACUUCCCUUACUCUGACGCUUUCUAAUAUUGCUUACUGGUGUUCGUUGAUGUCGUGGAGUGCUGAUGGCAGGCGUUUUAUUAAGUAAGGUUUAAGUUCAUAUAUGUGUUAGCUUUAUUGAUCUUAUUGCUAUUGUUUCUUAUUUCAUUUAUUUAUUUAUUUUAUUUGUUAGUUACUAUUGAUACUACUGUUAUUAUCUUUUCUCUUUCUCUAUCUCUCUGUUCCUGCUGUUUAUCUGUCUUGCGGUAAGUCUCAUGGCUCUCCUUAUCUCUUUUACUCUGACACACUUUCGAGCCUCUUUCUCAACAAUGCUGUUUGUGUGAGUGUGUGAGUGUGUUACUGGUGUGGCCUUGACUCGCAUUUCGAAGCGCUUUGCUCUCUCAUAACGACCAUCUUAAAAAAAAAAAAAAAAACACGUCUUCUUUCAGCCCUAUCAAUUACAACAUCUCUUCUUAUUCUUAUUCUUAUUCUUAUUCUUCAAAACACCACAGAGACGAGCAGUUGGGUUCUUACGUUCAUUCAGAAUCAUUGUUAAGUUAAGACCAUGUAGAACUAAGAAAGCAUUCUCUGAAAACAUCGUUAACUUCAACUAGCGGCUGUGUAAUAAUAGUCAAAAUAAGGCGCCGGAACAAUAGAGAAUACGAUCCCUUGUUGCUAUCAAAGACUGUUAAACAAGAGGGUUGCGAUGCUGUUCGAAGCUUCACGUGAGAUCUCGAAUCAGUGUCAUGAACCAGUUCUGAAGUGCCUUUCCUGUUAGGUCUUCCAUAUUUAUUUCCUUUCAUAUUUAUUUCAAUAACUCACAAACUAAUAAUAACGGCAGUAAAGCGUAGAUAACAAAAGAAUAAUGGCUGGGUUUUCUUUUCUCUGUUAAUUUUCUACCUAAGUUCCAAUAACGCUAUGAUCGCUCAGCCAACCAAACACUGCCAUGUACAUGCGAGCAUUUCAUAAGUUAUAGCGUAUUCGAAUCCUUACAGUAGAGGAUCUGAUACUAAACACUGCCAGAAGUUCUAAAUCGAAUCCUCCUUUUGGCUGCGUCAAGGCAUAAGUGAUGGACUUCAGUGGGAGCUUAGAGGUGGACGUGGACAGACGCGAUGGUACAGUUAAGCCGCCCGUGGCAGCACUGUCUUGCAGGGCGUGAUGGUGGGCAUGGACCAGAUCUGCAUAAAAAGUUGAUAAGGUGCAUAGCAAGUGAGGCAUCUUCACUCUCAGGUACCCCCAGUGAGCACAGUAUUGUCAUCAACUGGGCCGACAUUGAGAGUACCUACUAUGAUGUAUGGCCGCAGAGCAGCACCCAAUCCUACUGAGGGAGGCUUCCCUCAGCCCCAAAGCCAACCACGAAAGCAUGAUCCAGGUCAUGUUCGAAACUUUCAACGCUCCGCUGUACCUUCAUGGUUUGCAUAAGAGACUUCACUGCAAUGAGACUCCCCAACACCACCAUCACCACUACCACCACCAGAUAUCAGAUGAGCAACAAUGAAGGCACAAAAGAACAAUUAAGACCAACAGAUUGCCCACCUUCUUCAGGCAAGUUGUCUGCCUCAGUCUCAAUGCGUUCCCGAGCAUUGAGGAAGACGCUCUGCAUGACAAUAGAGUCCUCGUAGAUGAUGGAUGCUUCCUCGUUGUACUCCUGGGCAUUGCGGCACAGCAACAUGAAGUCACUCUCCAGGUCGUUGAGGUCUUCGUACUGUGUGGAAGGGGAGGGGGGAAAGGAAUGUUUUGUUGCCGGCCUCUACUGGUCCCUGCUGUGAGGGAUGGACACAACAAGUUUCAACACCUUCAUCAAAGCAGAAUAAUCCAGUCUAUCACAUCUGUAUGGAUUCAACUAAUUCAGCAACCCAGCCAUAGCUACACAAAACAUGCAAGUGCACAGCAGGGGUAACAAAAAGUAUGACUUCAACUAAGCCAGCAACCCAGCCAUAGGUAUGUA